AAUGGCUACUGAAUAUAGGACAGACUCUAGACAAACUUAUGAAGUCACUGAUAUGGCUGGUGAUUGAUGCUGAUGGUCCAGUAGGAGCCGAGGUGGGGUUGUUGACUG